GAGGCAUUGGCUUAACGGUAAAGCAUCCUCCUUCAUAAGUACAUCGCUUGUUUUGGGAUGUACUUAUGAAGGGGACGAUCGAGGUUCAAAUCCUCGGUGCCUCACCA
rnacentral:tRNA from 1 species